GAUGAACGCUAGCGGCAGGCCUAAUACAUGCAAGUCGAGGGGUAGUGGUUGCUUGCAGCCAUGAGACCGGUGCACGGGUGCGUAACGCGUAUGCAACCUACCUUCAUCUGGGGGAUAGCCCGGAGAAAUCCGGAUUAAUACCGCAUAAAAUCACAGUACGGCAUCGUACAAUGAUCACACAUUUAUGGGAUGGAGAUGGGCAUGCGUGUCAUUAGUUAGUUGGCGGGGUAACGGCCCACCAAGACCGCGAUGACUAGCGGAUCUGAAAGGAUGCCCCGCCAAACUGGUACUGAGCCACGGACUAGACGCCUACGGGAGGCAGGAGUAGGGAACAUUGGUCAACGGGCGCAAGCCUGAACCAGCCAUGCCGCGUGCAGGAAGACGGCCCUCUGGGUGGUAAACUGCUUUUAUUCGGGAAUAAACCUGCUUACGUGUAAGUAGCUGAAUGUACCGAAGGAAUAAGGAUCGGCUAACUCCGUGCCAGCCGCCGCAGUAAAAC
rnacentral:rRNA from 1 species